rnacentral:rRNA from 1 species
AUUGAACGCUGGCGGCAGGCCUAACACAUGCAAGUCGAGCGGAUGAAGGGAGCUUGCUCCUGGAUUCAGCGGCGGACGGGUGAGUAAUGCCUAGGAAUCUGCCUGGCAGUGGGGGAUAACGUCCGGAAACGGGCGCUAAUACCGCAUACGUCCUGAGGGAGAAAGUGGGGGAUCUUCGGACCUCAUGCUAUCAGAUGAGCCUAGGUCGGAUUAGCUAGUUGGUGGGGUAAAGGCCUACCAAGGCGACGAUCCGUAACUGGUCUGAGAGGAUGAUCAGUUACACUGGAACUGAGACACGGUCCAGACUCCUACGGGAGGCAGCAGUGGGGAAUAUUGGACAAUGGGCGAGAGCCUGAUCCAGCCAUGCCGCGUGUGUGAAGAAGGUCUUCGGAUUGUAAAGCACUUUAAGUUGGGAGAAAGGGCAGUAAGUUAAUACCUUGCUGUUUUGACGGUACCAACAGAAUAAGCACCGGCUAACUUCGUG